UAUUUAAGAAUGUUUUUCUAUCGCGUUGGAAUGCCUGAAAGCCGUUGAUGAUGACUCAAGACUAAGAUUAUUAUUUUUCUCAUGAAUUUUGUUUUGGUCAGGACUGUGGAACUUUAGUUUAUUCGUUAUGAAAAUGAACCUCUGCGUAUGGUUGAACCUUAUUACUUUUUCCGGUCUGCUUUUUUCGUUAGGUAAGAUCUGAACCAUUUGAGGACGUGCCAGAUAGCCCAACCAAGUUUUCCAACCUAUCCAGAAGUAUGCUGUGAUCGACAGUGUCAAAUGCAGCACUGAGAUCAAGCAAUACCAGCACUGUUCAAAACACAAGAGCUCAUCAAGCUGAAGAAGAGACACCGACUGCUUCAAACAUGUCCAACCAUUCAACAUUCCUCCCCAAAGCUCAAUCCAUCACCCCAACUGAAUCAUCUGUGAAUACGCUGCACAUCUCAACACCCAGCAAACACCUGACCUCUGCAUCUACAGGCGUUCCUCCAGGUCACCAGGCAGCAGGUGGUGGAUUUGAUGCGGGUAGUUUUAUUGGUGGUAUGAUGCUGGCCUUUAUCAUCAUACUGGCCAUCACUGUAGGGUACAGGCUGUUCUGCUCAAAACGGGAGAUUCGCUACAGAGUCAUUGAGGAACAUGACGCCAUCAUUUAAAAAUGGUGCCAUCCAAGAAGCCUUCAUGAUCUGAGGAGAGGGUUUUCAUCAUAAUGUUGUUCAUAUGCAUAUGAAGGGUGUGUUCACACUGGUUUGGCUUGAUUCAUUUGAACUGACUGAUGGUCUGAUUGCUUUGUUAGCAUUAUUCAUUUGAAUAAGUGUGAACUUAUUCAACAGUGUCAAACUGUGCACACUAUUGAGGAUGUAGGUUUCGGUCCACUUCCAAAUAAACUGUAAUGAUGUUCAACAGACAAUAUGAACACAACAUGGACCAAAGACAUCUCAGUGAAACAAAAAACAGGAAAUGAUGUCAUAAGAUGUGACCAUAAAAGGACAGAAUGCUCAGAAA